rnacentral:rRNA from 1 species
GACGAACGCUGGCGGCGUGCUUAACACAUGCAAGUCGAACGAAGAGCGAUGGAAGCUUGCUUCUAUCAAUCUUAGUGGCGCACGGGUGAGUAACGCGUAAUCAACCUGCCCUUCAGAGGGGGACAACAGUUGGAAACGACUGCUAAUACCGCAUACGAUCUAAUCUCGGCAUCGAGGAUAGAUGAAAGGUGGCCUCUACAUGUAAGCUAUCACUGAAGGAAGGGAUUGCGUCUGAUUAGCUAGUUGGAGGGGUAACGGCCCACCAAGGCGAUGAUCAGUAGCCGGUCUGAGAGGAUGAACGGCCACAUUGGGACUGAGACACGGCCCAGACUCCUACGGGAGGCAGCAGUGGGGAAUCUUCCGCAAUGGACGAAAGUCUGACGGAGCAACGCCGCGUGAGCGAUGACGGCCUUCGGGUUGUAAAGCUCUGUUAAUCGGGACGAAAGGCCUUCUUGCGAAUAGUGAGAAGGAUUGACGGUACCGGAAUAGAAAGCCACGGCUAACUACGUG